AUCAUUAAUUAUUGUGUUCUUUUGGGAAUGUAAUAUUGCCUUUAUUUUUCAUGCUUCUUGUGUCCCUGUGUUGAUAUUUGCACAUCUGGCUGGUCAGUUGUUUUGUCACCUUGAAAAGGUAGCUUCUGUGCAUUGAAGACUUUUUCCUAAAGAUGAAUCUGGCUGUUGGUUUGGCUGCCUACUUUGGCUUUAGUUCAGGUUGGACAUUGAAGUGUAAUCUCCCUGUGCUUUCUGAUGGCAGUGGUGGUGGGGGAUUAGGGUGUGUGCUCCUGUCAUUCCCAGCAAUGAUGUGUGGUUCCCAGUGGUCAUGCCGGGAUCACAGCAGUGCCAGGCCCAAGUCUAGGUGGGUAUGCACAGCUGCCCGUGCCCACCAAAGCCAGGGUGGCUCAGGAAGGGAGUCCCAGCAGGGCCUGGCCCAAGUGCAGGGUGUGUGUGCGCAUGUGUCUGCUUGUAGCCACCAACGUGAGGGAGAGCUCAGGGCUUGGCACUGCUGUAGGGGAAGCGGUGUGAAAGGCAAGCACCCUCACUUCCAAGGUCUUGGAGGCAGGACCCACCCUAAUAAGCUGAGCUGCCUGUCCCCUGUGGGGCAGGACACUGCUUGAUAAGGUGAUGAGGUCUUGGUUGCUGCUGGUGUGCGAGGCUGCUGCCUGUUUUGUUAGUUGUGUGGAAAGUCUGUGGAGUCCCAUGGAUGGGGAGAUGAAGGGGUUUUUGUCCCUUACAGAAGCCUGGGUUGCGACAGUGACUCCUUUUUCAAGAUGGAGUCACAUUUCCAGGGCUUGUUCCUUGGGGUCUUGUGGGAAGACAAUGUGAGCUCCUUUCCAGAAGCAGAAUUACUGUGUGUACUCCCAAGUACUCACUUCCCUGGGCUGUCAGUCUGGUGACUGUGGGUCCCUUCUGUAGCUAAGAAUGCUGGUAUCUGGUGUUGCAUGAGAUGAUGUCCGAUGAAGCUCCCCUGUGUAACCUUUGCCCUGCAGUGGGGAUCUCUCUGAGCUGUGGGGCCGUGGCGCAGUUGCUGGUGCCCUCACUUCAUGCAGUGGGGAUCUCUCUGAGCUGUGGGGCCGUGGCGCAGUUGCUGGUGCAGGGUCCCUCUAUGCACUGGGGCUCUCUCUGAGCUGUGGGGCCGUGGCGCAGUUGCUGGUGCACUCACUCCAUGUAGUGGGGAUCUCUCUGAGCUGUGGGGCCAUGGCGCAGUUGCUGGUGCAGGGUCCCUCUAUGCAGUGGGGAUCUCUCUGAGCUGUGGGGCCGUGGCGCAGUUGCUGGUGCAGGGUCCCUCUAUGCACUGGGGCUCUCUUUGAGCUGUGGGACCAUGGCGCAGUUGCUGGUACACUGUCCCUCUGUUCUGCAUCAAUGCGGUUCCAAGUCUCUUGUGCUGAGUUGGUGUUCUUCCUAAAAAUGCGGUUGUUUCCUUAUUUUGGUUCUUCUCUGUGGAGGCUGUUUGAAUCCUGGGCAUCUCUGUCCAUCGCGGAGACUCUAAAGCCAGUGAAAUUAAGAUGAGCUUCCGGUCGGAGGGUAUAUGGUUGACUUUGUCUCCCCAGACCGGGCUCACUGUGCUCCUGCUUCCCGAGGCGGGGCGCAGAGGCUCAUGGGAAACGUAGUCUUCCGCCUCUCAUGACAUCGGCAGCACAGGAUCUUGGGAAAGGCCCUCCAAGCUCCUUCUGCGCAUGUGCGGCCCCGCCCACCCGCGCCAUCUUCCUGGAAAUUGCAGAUGCUGCGCUCUCCCGACGCUGUUCCGCGCGUUCUGGGUUGGGCGUCAGUGUAGCCGCAGGUGUAAUUCCAGAGUCAUCUACAUACUUAAAAGAACAAAGAAAAUGAGCACAUCGCCAGGGUUGGUGUCGUUUGAGGAUGUGGCUGUGGACUUCAGCUGGGAGGAGUGGCAGGACCUGGAUGAUGCGCAGAGGACCCUGUACAGGGACGUGAUGCUGGAGACCUACAGCAGCCUGCUGUCCUUGGGGUCCUGCAUUACCAAACCUGAGGUGAUCUUCAAGUUGGAGCAAGGAGCAGAGCCAUGGAUGGCGGAAGAACCCUCAAACCAGAGCCAGCCAGUUGUCCAGAAAAUGGAUGACACCAUUGGGACCAGCCAAGAAAGUCAAGACAUAAUUUUUUGGCAAGUUGUAAUCACGAACAACAACACAUCAACUGAGGACAGAGUAGAAUUAAGAAAAACAAUUAAUUUAAACUCAAACCAUAUUUCAAAACUUGUUGUAAAGAGUGAAGAUUAUUCAGAAAUGAGGCCUGAGAUGUUCAACGUAUGUCAGAAUGUGCUCCUCCCGGGUGAACCUGAUGAGAUGCAUGCUGGAGGAAAACCUGGUGCCUACAGUGUCAGCGGGAAAUCCCUCAAAUGGUGUGAGAAUCUUAGUCAGCAUCAUGAGAUUCAGACUUGGCCGCAGCCAUUUGAAUAUAGUGGACAAGGGAGAGCUUUCAACAGGGAGGAAGUAUUCUUUGCACAUGAGAGAGUUCAAAUGAGAGAGACUUUCUAUAAAUAUAACGAAUAUGGGAUGGGCUGUGAUGAGUCAGCUCUCAUUGGUGGGGAGGCAACUCACAUAGGAAAGGAAGCUUUCUAUGAAACGUCUAAUUUCACUGAUCAUCAGGAAACACAUGCAGGAGAGAAACUCUAUAACUACAUUAAGUGUGAGGAACCUUUGGUUAGCAAAUCAGAUCUUAAAAUAAAUCAGACAUAUACAGGGAAAAAGCCUUAUGACUGGAACCAGUGUGAGAAAUCUUUCAAUUGUAAACCAGGCCUUACUCUGCAUCACAGAAUUCAUACAGGGGAAAAGCCCUAUGGUUACACUGAAUGUGUGAAAGCUUUCUACCAGAAACCAAUCCUCACUAUGCUUCCAAGAACUCACACAGGGGAAAAACCCUAUGAAUGUGAUGAAUGUGGAAAAACCUUUUGCCAGAAGUCAAACCUCAGAAAACAUCAAAGAAUUCACACAGGUGAGAAACCAUAUGAAUGUAAUGAAUGUGGAAAAACCUUUUUCUGGAAGUCAGACCUCACUAUGCAUCAGAGAACUCACACAGGGGAAAAACCCUAUAAAUGUGAUGAAUGUGGAAAAACCUUUUGCCGGAAGUCAAGCCUCAGGAAACAUCAAAGAAUUCACACAGGUGAGAAACCAUAUGAAUGUAAGGAAUGCAGGAAAACUUUCUCUUACAAGUCAUAUCUCACUCAGCAUCAAGGAACUCACACAGGGGAGAAAGGAUACGAAUGUGAGAAAUGUUGGAAAUCAUUCUACCACAAGUCUCAGCUCAUUAUGCAUCAGAGAAUUCACACAGGGGAAAAACCCUAUCAGUGUAACGAAUGUGGAAAAACGUUCUGCAGGAAGUCAAGCCUCAGCAUACAUCAGCACACUCACACAGGGGAAAAACCCUAUGAAUGUGAGGAAUGUGGAAAAACCUUUUACCUGAAGUCAGUCCUCACUGUGCACCAGAGAAUUCAUAAAGGGGAAAAGCGCUAUGCAUGUAAUGAGUGUGGGAAAGCCUUUUAUUGGAAGUCACACCUCAUUGUACAUUACAGAACGCACGCAGUGGAAAAUCCUUAUGAAUGGAAUGAAUACAGGAAAGCCUACCAGAUGUCAGUCCUUGGUAUUCAUCAGAGUACUCACACAGGGGAAAAACCUUAUGAAUGUAAUGAAUGUGGAAAAACCUUCUGCAGGAAGGGAGACCUCACUAUGCAUCACAGAACUCACACAGGGGAAAAAGCUUACAAAUGUAAUGAGUGUGGGAAAACAUUUUACCGAAAGUCAGACCUCAUCAUACAUCUGAGAACUCACACAGGGGAAAAACCUUAUGAAUGUAAUGCAUGUGGAAAAGGCUUUUACCGGAAGUCACACCUCAUCAGGCAUCAGAGGACUCAAAUAGGAGGAAAACUCUAUGAAUGUAAUGAGUGUGCAAAAACCUUUUGCCAGAAGUCAAACCUCAGGACACAUCAGAGAACUCACACAGGUGCGAAAACAUACGACUGCCUCGAAUGUGGAAAGGCUUUUUGUCGGAAGUCACACCUCAGCAAACAUCAGAAUAUUCACAGAAGAGAAGCACUGUGAAUGGAGGAAACACAAGUCAAGCCGACAAACAUCACACAGAAUACACCAUACGACUGUAAUGAAUGUGGAAACGCUUUUGCCAGAAACCAUGCAAGGGAGUAACCCUGUAUGGCAGAGACUGGCUACGUGUUCUUCAAAUUCUGCUCUCUGUUGGACAUACAGUCUGCAUUUUCAUCCUCCCCUUAUUGUGGAUAGGACCAUAUAACUAAGCUCUUGCUUUCACAUACAAAUUUGGAGAAGAAAUAAACAUCCACUCCAAAAUGCCAUCUUCAUCAUUUACUAAUUUGUGGUUUGGAGUGGCUGCUUUUUCUCUGCCCAUCAUUCCUUCCUCGCGUUAUUCUGAUACAGACCAGUUGUGUGGCCACGGGGGCAUCAUAUGACUCAGGUGGCAGUCAUAAUGCUGUGCAUACAGCCCUGCAUGCCAGGAAAAUACCCGCCAGCAGCACGGCAGACAUCCUAUGGUGCAUGAGACGUUGACUUCUGAGCUGGAGGAAUCCUGGGCAGCGCAUCAGUUGUCAGGUUCUUCAAGACGCAGAAGAGCUGCAAGACCCAUGCAGCCUGCUGACCUAGCAGUGGCCCCACUUCAAAGCCUCUUUCCAGUAGAGGAGCCCCCUGGAGUCUGUGGUAACCCCUUCACUGCCCCCAGAGACUCCUGUGGGAAGCCGUCACCAAGGAGAGACAGAAGUGGGAGGGAGGAGGUUUGCCUUGGAGUCUGUCUGGAGCUGAGAUCUCAAGGAAGGACAUCAGUGAGUGGGUCUGCAAAUCCCAGGAAUGAGGUCAGGAGGAUGGAGUGAGUGGCUAGGGGUGAUAGCACCCGCCAUGUACUCAGCAUGGGUUGGUAGGGACACAGUCCUCGCGUCCUGUCCAGAGUGAAUUUUGCUGCUGUAUCCUAAUGCAGAGCGGCUUCAGUUGUGCACAGCUCAGCUAGUGCAGGGCCAAAGGAGCUCGUUUUUUUUUGCUGCUUGCUUUGGUGUGUGCAACUGCUUGUGCUGGAAUGGGUCACGGGUUACUUGGAUCCUCCUGCCCUGCUUGCCCACCAUGCAUACAGCUUCCAUCUGGGCACCUAGUGUUGCCACGUGGUCUCAGGAUGAGGAUUGGAGGUGAAUUUGCUAAUGAUGUUGUAUGCUGGGUGGGGAGUAGUACAGUCCUUUGUCUCUUACCUAGGUCUCUAGUAUCCUUCCAGCAUCCAUGAGGUCCAAGCAGGUUCAUUGUCUGUAAGCAGGGAAUAGCCUAGACUGCAUAGUUCCUGACCAAGAUGGAGCAAGCCUGGCCUGAAGCCACUGGAUGAGAGCAAGUAGGUGAUGAAGGCUGACAUAACUGCUGGGCUCAGCGUGGAGUUGACAUGCACCGCAGGCACAGUGCCACUGUCCCAGGGGAUAUGGGGUCCAGAGAGGGCUGGAGCACUGAGUCCAGGAGAGAUUCUGAGGGGUGUGGCUAGGUACAGAGCUUGUGGGGUCUUGGUGGGCAGGGAGGUCACUGUCCACUUGGCCACCAUCCCACCCCCAUGUGUCUUGUCAUGCCAGCAGGAGGGAGCACUGCACCAUCAUUUCUCUGCAGUUUUCUGUUCUAAUCUGAAUUUCCUUCUUUCUGUUUGUUUUGGGUUUAGUUCUCCUUUGUAUAGUUUCUUAAGAUGGAAGGUUAGCUUAUUAAACUCAGAUCUUCAUUUCAAAAUGCAGAUAUUUAUAGUGAUAAAUUUCCCUCUGGCACAUUUUAAGUCCACCCCGUUAGUUCUUGUAUGUUGCAUUUUCUUUGUCAGUCAUCUCAUCACUUUUCCUAAUAUCUUUUAGGACUUCUGUGAACCACUGGCUGUUUCAGAAUAUGUUUAUUUUCUACACGUUUGUCUUUCUAUUGUUGAUAGUAGUUUAAAUCCAUUAUGGCCAGAGCACAUACUUUGUAUGAUUUCAUUCUUUUUCAACUUAGUCUAUUUUACGAUUGUAGCAAAUGGUCCUUUCUGGAUAGUGUUCCAUAUCCAGUUGAGCACAGUGUAUGCCUGAUAGAAACAGGAAUACAGAUAUUUCUGUUAAGUUGCUGUAGCGUUCAAAUCUUCUGCAUCCUUGUCAGUCUUUGACUUAGAUCUAUCCAUUAUGAAACUUAGGGUAUUGAUAUCUUUGAGUAUUGUGUUGAAAAUCUACUUGUCCCUUAAUUUCUAUCUUUCAUUUACUGUUGAGCUCUUUUAUGUACUUGUGUCAUUAUUGUUGUCCAGGUUGAUUAACCCCUUCAUCCCCUUCGUUACUGUAAAAUGUCUCUUCUUGUCUCUCUCUUUUUUUGUUUUUUAAAGAUUUAUUUUACUUAUUUGGAAGACAGCUACAGAGAGAGGUAGAGACAGAAAGAGAGGUCUUCCAUUUGCUGGUUCACUCCCCAGAUGGCUGCAGCAGCCAGAGCUGUGCUGAUCUGAAGCCAGGAGUUUCCUCUGGGUUUCCCAUGUGGGUGCAGGGGCCCAAGGACUUGGGCCAUUCUCCACUGCUAUCCCAGGCCAUUGCAGAGAGCUGGAUUAGAAGAGGAGCAGCUGGGACUAGAACCAGCGCCUACAUGGGAUGCCGGCACUUCAGGCCAGGGUCCUAACCUGCUGCACCACGGCAUCGGCCCCUCUCCUUAUCUCUAGUUCUAACUUCUGUUGUGUCUGUUAUUUGGAAGGUGAAGCCAGUUUAUCAAGCUCUCUUAGAGUUCUUUUACAUAGUAUAUAUUUUUGUCAUCUUUUAGCCUUAACUCUUGUAUCUUUGAAUUUAAUUUUUUUUUUUCUUGGUGAGAAUUUGUUGCACUGGUUGACACCACUGGCUUUUUGCCUCCUUUGUCAGAGUGCCUGCGUUCAAAUUCUGACUCUGCUUCCCAGUGUAGCUUCAUAAUACAUGUACCCUUUGAGGCAGCAGGUAAUGGCUGAAGUCAUUUCACCCAUGUGUGAAACCCAGGUUGAGUUCUGGGCUCUUGGCUCAGCCCCAGCUGUUACAGGCAUUUGUGUAGUAAACCAGCAGAUGGACAAUCUCUGUCUGUCUCUGUCUUUACCUGUCAAAUGGAUAAAAAUAGUUUCUCCUGUAUAGCAUAUGUGUAAUUCAAUCUUAUUUUUUAAUCAUAUGACAGUCUACCUUUGAAAAUUUUUUUUAUUUUCAGUUUUUUUGCCAGAUAAUAAUUGUAUAUAUUUAUGGGGUAAAAUGUGAUGUUUUGAUUAAUGUAUACAUUGUUGAGUGAUGAAAUCAGACUAACAUAUCUGUCACCUCAUGUACUUACAAUUUCUUUGUGAUGAGAACAUCUAACAUCUUCUCUCAGGGAGUGGACAUGUGUGGCAGCAGGUAGGACAGCACCUGGGAUGCACACAUCCCCUGUCAGUCUCUGAGGUUUAGUCCUGGCUCCACUUCUACUCCAGCUUUCUGCUCGGAUCACAUCUGAUGGUUCAAGUGGUCUCCAUGGGGGAGACCUGGAGUGAGUUCAGGGCUCUGGUUCCCAUCAGCUUUCUCCUUACACACUUCUUCCACCCUUUGCUAGCUGCCAUUCUCUCUUCUAUGAAAUUUGACUUUUUCAGAGUCCACAUGUGAGAUCAUACAGUGUUUGUCUUUCUGUGCCUCACUUACAUCACUUAACAUAAUCUGUUUAUUUGUGUUGUUGCAAGUGACAGGAUUUCCUUUUCAUAAAAUGUAUGUUUAUUUUGAUCUACUUGAAAGGCAAAGUCACAGUGACAGAGAGAUCUUCCGUCUGCUGGUUCACUUCCACACUGCAGCCAAGGUUGCGCUAGGCUGAAGCCAGGAGCCUUGAACCCCCGUGGGUCUCCCAUGGUUGGAGAGGCCAGUGCCCUUACACCAUCUGUUGCCUUCCAGGAGGCAUUAGCAGGCAGUUGGAUCAAAAGUGGAACAGCCGGGAAUCAAAUCUGUACUCCAGUGUUGGGGGGUGGGCAGCAUCCCAAGUAGUAGCUUAACCAGAUAGCUGUACCACAAACCCUGUAACAGAAUUUUUGUUAUUUCACAGGGUGAAGGGAAUUCCAUUUUAUUUAUCCAUUGGUUGUGCAUUGGUACUUUCUAUAUCAUAACUAUUAUUAAUACUGCUGUAAUGAACAUGGGAGUAUAGACAUCUGUUUGACAUACUGAUUUGAAUUUCUUUGAGUAUAUAUAUCUAAAUGUGGGAUUGUUUGAUCCUAUGGUAGUUCUAUUUUUAGUUUUUUGAGGAGUCUUGUAUUAUUUUGAACUAGCUGUGCUAAUUUACAUUCCCACCAGCAGUGUUCAGGAGUCACUUUUCUCCACGUCCUCAUUAACACUUGCUGUCUUUCAUUUUUUUUUUUUUAAAUAGUAGCCAUUCUGACAGGUGUGAGGUGAUAACUAAUUGUUUUUACUGGGGCUGGUGCCGCGGUGCACUUGGUUAAUUCUCCACCUGCAGCAUCGGCAUCCCAUAUGGGCGCCAGUUCUAGUCCUGGUUGCUCCUCUUCUGGUCCAGCUCUCUGCUAUGGCCUGGGAGGGCAGUGGAGGGUGGCCCAAGUGCUUGGGCCCCUGCACCCACAUGGGAGACCAGGAGGAGGCACCUGGCUCCUGGGUUCGGAUUGGUGCAGCUCCGGCCGUUGCAGCCAUUUGGGGAAUGAACUGAUGGAGGGAAGACCUUUCUGUCUCUCUCUCUCUCUCUCUGUGUAACUACCUGUCAAAUAAAUAAAUAAAAUCUUAAAAAAAUUUGGUGUGUUUACUGAUGAUUGUAACAUUGAGGAUUUUUUUUCACAUAUCUGUUGGCCAUGUAUAUCUUUUCUUAGAAAUGUCUGUUCAGGUCCUUUGCCCACUUUUUAAUAGUGAUAUUUGAUUUUUUGUUAUUAAGUAAUUUGAGUCCUUUAUUUUGGAUAUUAUUCCCUAAACAGUUAUAUGACUUAAAAUUUUUUUUCCAGUGUGGGGGUUGUCUCUUCACUCAGUUGUUUUCUUUGCUGGGCAAAAGCUUUUCAGUGUCAUGAAAUCCUAUUAUAUAUAUAUAUUAAGGUGUAUUUGAAAGGCAGCAGAGUUACAGAGAGGCAGAAGCAGAGAGAGUGAUAUAUAGAGUCUUCCAUCUGCUGGUUCACUCCCCAAAUGGCCACAGUGGCUGGAGCUUAGCCAAUCCGAAGCCAGGAGCCAGGAGCUUCUUCUGGGUCUCCCACACGAAUGCAGGGGCCCAAGCACUUGUGCCAUCUUGUACUGCUUUCCCAGGUUAUAGCAGAGAGCUGGAUCAGAAGUGGGGCAGCCAGGACUAGAACCAGUGCCAUAUGGGAUGCUGGCACUGCAGGCGGUGACUUUAUCACUCAGCCCUAGCCCCACCCGUUGAUUUAUUUUUGCUUUUUUUGUCUGUACUUUGUGGGUCACAUCCAACAAAUCCUUUUUUAAGACCAAUGUCAUAGACGUCCUGCACUGCCUUCCCGGGCCAUAGCAGAGAGCUGGACUGGAAGAGGAGCAACCGGGACUAGAACCUGGCGCCCAUAUGGGAUGCCAGCGCCACAGGCGGAGCAUUAACCAAGUGAGCCACGGCGCCAGCCCCGUAUCAGUGUUUUAUGGUUGUAAGUAUACAGAUCAUUCACCUCCUUGGUCAGAUUUACUGCAAAGGUUUUUUUUUUUUUUUUUUUUUUUUAAUUUUGAUUUAAAUUUAUUUGAGAGGGGUGGGUGUGUGGUACAGCAGGUUAAACUGCUGCUUGUGACACCUGGGUCCUGUAUCAGAGUGCGUGGGAUCAAAUACUGCCUUCCGUUCCAAUCCAGCUCCCUGGUAAUCUGCACCCUCGGAAGCAGACCACGGCCCAGCCCCAGCUGUUUGAGGCGUCUGCGGAGCAAACCAGCAGAAGGGAGCACUUGCUCUCGUUUUCUGUCACUCUGCCUUUCACACAAAUAAAAGCAAGCUUAAAAAAUAAAUCUGUUAGAGAAAGAAAGGCCCCAGUCCAUUGGUUUAUGCCUCAGAUGCCCACAGUGGCCAAAAAUGGGAGCCAGGAACCCAGUCAGGCAGGGACCCAGUCACUGCUGCCAGCCAGAGUCUAGAUGAGUGAGAAGCUGAAGUCUGGAGGCAAAGCCAGGCACCAAACCCCAGUACUCUGUUGUGGGGUGUGGGUGUCUCAACUGGGGCUCCUCUGAUUACAAGGCUAAACAUCCACCCUAGUUGGCUUUUUUUUUUCUCUUUUGCUAUUGUAAAUGAGAUUUUGUUCUUGAAAAAAAAUUUUCAGAAUGUUGUUAGUUUUAAAGAGAUUGUGCAAGGCUGGCGCCGCGGCUCACUAGGCUAAUCCUCCACCUGCGGCGCCGGCACACCGGGUUCUAGUCCCGGUCGGGGUGCCGGAUUCUGUCCAGGUUGCCCCUCUUCCAGGCCAGCUCUCUGCUGUGGCCCAUGAGUGCAGUGGGGGAUGGCCCAGGUCCUUGGGCCCUGCACCCCAUGGGAGACCAGGAGGAGCACCUGGCUCCUGCCUUCGGAUCAGCCCGAUGUGCCGGCCGAAGCAGCCAUUGGAGGGCGAACCAAUGGAAAAGGAAGACCUUUCUCUCUCUCUCUCUCUCUCUCUCUCUCUCUCUCUCUCUGUUUAACUCUGCCUGUCAAAAAAAAAAAAAAAAAAGAGAAAGAUUGUGUGGACUUAGAUAUUUUGAUUUGAUUUUUGUAAUCUCCAACUUUACUGAAUUUGGUUUUAAGGUGUUUUUUUGUUUUUUGUUUUUUGUUUUUUGAAUGGAGUCAUUAGGGCUUUCUGCAUAAGACUGUGUCAUCUGCACACAGAGAAUUUGACUUCUUUCUUAUCUACAUUCCAUCAUUUUUUUCUUACCUGUGGUCUAUUCAGAAGUUUUCAGAAUAGAAUACAGAAUAGAAGUGCCAAGAAUGGACGUCCUUAUGUUCUUAGUGGAAAAUUUUCAGCUUUUCACUGCUGACUGUGGUGUUAGCUGUGGUCUUGGCAUGUAUGAUCUUUAUUGCGGUAUAUUUCUUCUGUAAUCAGAUUGUUGGGAGUUUUUAUCAUGAAAGUUUUUAUCAUGACUUUUGCCAAAUCCUUUUUCUGAAUCUGAUGAGCUGACAAUGAUUUUUAUCUUUUGUUCUGUUACUGUAGUGAAUUGAUUUGCCUGUAUUGAGCAGUCUUUGCAUCCCAGGGAUAAAUCUCACUUAAUCUAUGUAAAUAAUUCUUUUAAUGUAUUUUUUUUUUUUUUUGACAGGCAGAGUGGACAGAGAGAGAGAGAGAGAAAGAGAAAGGUCUUCCUUUGCCGUUGGUUCACCCUCCAAUGGCCACCGCGGCCGGCGCACUGCGCUGAUCCGAAGGCAGGAGCCAGGUGCUUCUCCUGGUCUCCCAUGUGGGUGCAGGGCCCAAGCACUUGGGCCAUCCUCCACUGCACUCCCUGGCCACAGCAGAGAGCUGGCCUGGAAGAGGGGCAACCGGGACAGAAUUCAGCGCCCCAACCGGGACUAGAACCCAGUGUGCCGGCGCCGCAGGUGGAGGAUUAGCCUAGUGAGCCACAGCGCCGGCCUUAAUGUAUUGUUGAGCACAGUCUGCUACAAAUUUUUUUGAGUAUCUUUGCAUUGUAUUCACCUGAAACAAUUGCCUACAGUUUCCUUUCCUUUUCCUUUUCCUUUUCCUUUUCCUUUUUUAUCUGGUUUUGGUAACAGGGUGAUGAUGGCUUCAUAAAAGAAGUUUGGAAGUGUUCUUCAGCUUUUUAGAAGCCUUUGAGGAUAGUAUUAUUUUUCUAAAUCUAUGAGAACAUCCAGCCUUGGACCUAUCUGGCCUUUGGUUUUCUUUGAUUGGCAACUUUUUUAUAACUGAUUUAAUUUCCUUAGCCAUAACUGGUCUGUUAAUAUUUAGCAUGAUUUGAUCUUGGUGGGCUGUUGUUAGUAGAAAUUUAGCCUUCUAGGUUUUUUUUUUUUUUUUUUGAGAGGCAGAGUGGACAGUGAGAGAGAGAGACAGAAAGGUCUUCCUUUUGCCAUUGGUUCACCCUCCAAUGGCCGCCGCGCUGUGGCCAGCGCACCACGCUGAUCCGAAGGCAGGAGCCAGGUGCUCCUCCUGGUCUCCCAUGGGGUGCAGGGCCCAAGGACUUGGGCCAUCCUCCACUGCACUCCCUGGCCACAGCAGAGAGCUGGCCUGGAAGAGGGGCAACCGGGACAGAAUCUGGACUAGAACCUGGUGUGCCGGCGCUGCUAGGCGGAGGAUUAGCCUAUUGAGCCGUGGCGACGGCCGCCUUCUAGGUUAUUAUUUUUAUUGGUUUAUAAUUCAUAAUUUUUAGGAUCUUUUGUUCUUUGUUAUCAGUUGUAAUGUCUCUUUUAUUUCUGUCCUUUAAUUAGCCUAGCUAAGGGCUUUUCAAUUUUGUUUAGCUUUUAACAAAAACAACUCUUAGUAUCAUUGAUGUUUCUAUUUUCUAGUCUCUUUUUUAUAAUUUUUUUUUUUUUGAGGUGGGGGAGAGAGAGCGAGAGAAACAGAGAUCUCCUAUGUGCCGAUUCAGGCCUCACUUGCUCACAAAAUCCAGGGCUGGCCUAGGUCAAUGCCAGGACCCAAAAACCAAAUCCAUGUUUCCCACAUGGGUGGCAGGAACCCAAGUACGUGAGUCAUCAGCUGAUGCCUCCCAGGGUGUGCAUUAGCAGAAAGCUGUGAACAGGAGGAGAUCUAGGACUCAAAUACAGGUACUUCAAUAUGAGAAGUGGGCAUCCCAACUGGGAUUUUAAUGGCUGUGCCAGAUAUCCACCUCUAUUGUCUAUUUCUGUAAGCCUGCUUUAAUCUUUGUCAUUUCUUUCCUUCUGCUAACUCUUGGUUUAACUUGUUCUUUUCAGUUUUUUUUUUUUUUUGUUUUUUUUUUGCUUCUCUGUUUUUAAUUCCCUGAGUAGUAAUGUUAGGCUAUCAGAUUGUUUAUUUGAGACUUUUUUUUUUUUUUUUUUGACAGGCAGAGUUAGACAGUGAGAGAGAGAGACAGAGAAAGGUCUUCCUUCCAUUGGUUCACCCCGCAAAUGGGCGCUGCAGCCAGCGCGCUGUGCCGAUCCGAAGCCAGGAGCCAGGUGCUUCCCCCUGGUCUCCCAUGUGGAUGCAGGGCCCAAGCACUUGGGCCAUCCUCCACUGCCUUCCUGGGCCACAGCAGAGAGCUGGACUGGAAGAGGAGCAACCCGGACAGAAUCUGGUGCCCCGACCGGGACUAGAACCCAGGGUCCCGGCACCACAGGCGGAGGACUAGCCAAGUGAGCCACAGCGCCGGCCUGAGACCUUUUUUGAUACAGGGAUGCAGUACUAUAAACCUUCGUAGAACUGCUUUUGAUGCAUUCUGUAUGUCUGUAUGUUCUUUCACUUGUCUCAGUGUAUUUUGUAACAUUUUUUUUUCUUGUUCUUAUUUGGCCCAAUAGUUGUUGAGGAGCUUACUGUUUAAUUUCUACAUAUUGUGAAUUUUCCAUGACUCUUCCUGUAACUGAUUUCUAUUUUCAUACCACUGUGGUUUGAAAAGGUACUUGAUAUGAUUGCCGUUUUCUGUAAUUUGUUAGACUAGUGUUGUGGCGAAGAUAGACGUGAUCUGUCCUGGAGAAUGCUCCGUGUACACUUGAGAUGAAUUACAUUCUGUUGCUGUUGGAUGGAAAAUUCUGUAUAUGUCUGUUAGGACCAUUUGAUGUCAUGGAUAGUUCAAGUCUGAUGUUUUCUUACUGAUUUUCUUUCUGAAUGAUCUCUUGUUGACAGUGGAGCACUUAAAUCCUUACCCUUAGUGUGUUGGAAUCUAUGUCUUCCUUUAGCUCUCUUAACAUAUGAUUUAUAUAUUUAGGUGCUUUGAUGUUGGGUACAUAGAUACUUGUAUUUUUUACAUCCUUUAGUGCUAUAUACUGACCUUUCUUUUCUCUGUUUUACAAUUUUUGACCUAAAGUUGAUAUUUUCUUUGAUUUGUACUCUUUGCUCUCUUUUGCCUUUAUUUUACAUUGAAUAUCUCUUCAUCCCUUCACUUUCAAUCUGUGAGUGUCUUUUAAGGUGAGGUGAGUUGAGUCUUAUGCUUUUAAUCCAUUCAGCCAUUCUGUGCCUUUUAUUUGGAAAAUUCAAACCAUUUACAUUUGAGAUAAUUAUUGAUAGGUCAGAACUUCCUAGUGAUGUUUUGUUAAUUGUUUGUGACUGAUUUGUAGAUCCUUUGCGGUUUGAUUGUUGUCUGUAGUGUCAUGCUUUGAAUCUUCCUUUUUUAUUUCUUGUGUUUCUUAGAAGGGUAUUACAAAGAGUUUAUUAGAGAUAAAAGAUAAGUUUAUUUGGGUACAAAAAAAUUUUUUUUUUUUUUUUGACAGAGUGGACAGAGAGAGAGAGAGAGAGAAAGGUCUUUACCGUUGGUUCACCCUCCAAUGGCGCCACGCUGAUCCGAAGCCAGGAGCCAGGUGCUUAUCCUGGUCUCCCGUGUGGGUGCAGGGCCCAAGCACUUGGGCCAUCCUCCACUGCACUCCCUGGCCACAGCAGAGAGCUGGCCUGGAAGAGGGGCAACCGGGACAGAAUCCGGUGCCCCAACUGGGACUAGAACCCGGUGUGCCGGCACUGCAAGGCGGAGGAUUAGCCUAGUGAGCCACGGCUCAAAAAAUUUUAAGAUAUCUGUAUAGCUUUUUCAUAAUACAUAUUUUCCUGAAUGUUUUGCAGAUUCCUCAUAUUACAUGCUUUUGCUUUGUGGUUACCUCUCAGGCUUGUAUGAAGCAUCCUAUAACAUGCAUCUAAGCUGAUAAUCCUAAUUUUCAUUGUAUGUAGAAGCUACGUUUACUCUUUCUCCUGCAUAUUUUAUGUUUGUUAUGUCAGCAUUUUACCCUUUUUCAAAUUGUACCCUUUAGAAAAUAUUGUAACUAUCAUAGUUUUCAGUUUUUUGUCUUUUAAUCUUUCUCCUAGGGAUAGACUGGACUUGACCACCACUGUUACAGUAGUAGUGAUUUCAGUUCAACAGUGAACUGACUGUUGCUGAUGUGCUUUGUACUUCAAUACGUUUUCACUUACUAGCAUCCUCUUCCUUAUGCUUGAAGAGCGUUUUUAUAAUACAGAUCUAGUGGCGAUAGCUACCUUCAUCCUUUGUUUAACAAGUCAUUGUCUAGUCUCCAUUUUUUUUUUUUAAGAUUUAUUUAUUUAUUUAAAAGAGUUGAAGGGAGAGAGGUCUUCUGUCAGCUGGUUCACAUCCCAAAUGGCUGCAGUGCCCCAGGGCUGGGCCUUGCCAGAGCCAGAGUCAGGAGCUUCUUCCAGGUCUCCCACGUGGGUGCAGGGGACCAAGCACUUGGGCCAGCUUCUGCUGCUCUUCCCAGGCGCAUUAGCAGGAAGCUGGAUCAGAAGUGGAGGAGCCAGGACACAAACUGGUGCCCAUAUGGGAUGCUGGCAUUGCAGAUGGCGGCUUAACCUACUGCACCACAACGCUGGCCCCUACUCUUCAUUUUUUACAUAUAUAUAUGUGUGUGUGUGUGUGUGUGUGUGUAUGUAAAUAGUAUAAAAUAUAGUAUUCUUAUUUGGCAUUUUUUUGUUUGUUUGUUUGCUUUCAGGACUUUGAAGGUCUCGUACCACUCCUUUCUGGCCUAUAAAAUUUUUGCUGAAAAUAUGUUGAUAGUGACAUGUGGCAUGAGUCCAUUAAACUGUCUUCACUUUAUAAUUCUCAUCUUUUUGCUUUUCAGUUUUGGUACUUCCCAGGGGCUGAUGUUCAAGUUCACUGGUUCUGUUUCUUUCUUGAUCAAGUCUGCUAUUGAACUUUGUAGUUGGGUUCUUUGGCUUGGUUGUUAGUUUGGUAUAUUUUCUCCCUUGACAUUCUCAGUUUGUUUUUGCAUUGCUUACCUGAUCUGCGAGCCUCUUAAUGACCAUUAGUUGAAUUUCCAUUUGGGUAAAUCACAUAUCUCCACUACAGUAGUACUGGAUUCUGAAGAUUUAUCUAGUGCUUAUACUGGGAAGACAUUUCUCUGUUUCUUCUUUUUCCUUGACUUCCUGUGUUGGUUUCUGCACAUUAGGUAAGAUAACUGCCCCUCCAGUCUCCAUCAGACUGGUCUUGUAUAGGAGAAGAAUCUCACCAAUUUAUCUAGCCAGAGCUUCUAAGCUGUCACUCAAGUUUGUGUUUGUGUAAAGUGCUCUCUGUUGCUGUGCCUUUGGGUGACUAGUGUGUAAGACAUUUCUUCAGUACCCAAAGACAGUAAGUUAGAAGCCAGCUCCUGGAUGUAGCUGCUAAGCUUGCGGUAUUCGUUCUUAUUCCUUCUAUCCUUUGUGACUCUGUGACUUUUUUUUUUGGACAGGCAGAGUUAAACAAAGAGAGAGAGACAGAGAAGGGUCUUCCUUCUGUUGGUUCACCCCCCAAAUGGCUGCUACGGCUGGUGCGCUGCACUGAUCUGAAGCCAGGAGCCAGGUGCUUCCUCCUGGUCUCCCAUGCGGGUGCAGGGCCCAAGCACUUGGUCCAUCCUCCACUGCACUCCUGGGCCACAGCAGAGAGCUGGCCUGGAAGAGGAGUAAUCCGGACAGAAUCCGGCGACCCGACCGGGACUAGAACCCGGGGUGCUGGCGCUGCAGGCGGAGGACUAGCCAAGUGAGCCCCAGCAUCAGCCUCUGUGGCGUUUUUUUUUGUUUGUUUGUUUGUUUAUUUGAAAGGCAGAGAGAGACAAUUACCUUCCAUCUGCCGCUUCACUCCCCAGAUGCCUGCAAGCCAGGAGCCAGGAUUUCCAUCUAGGUCUCCCACGUGAGUGGCAGGACCUUAAGUACUUGGGCCAUCACUCACUGCCUUCCCAGGCACAUUAAGAGGAAGCUGAAUCAGAAGCAGGAGAGUUGAGACUCAGGGAACACUGCUGUGUGGGACGUGGGUGUCUGCAGCAGUGCCACACUGCCUGCCCCUCGCUGUGAGGUUAAGAGUGGGCAAUUUAUCUCCCGCUGUCUCUUCAUUGAUCUUGGGAGAGGAUCUAUGGCAAUUGCUUGCCCUUGCAUUCAUCCUGGGGAGGUGGCCACUGAACGUGAGCUCCCUGUGUGUCCUCCUUUGUUCAUGGUGGUCUGAAGAGACCCAGGAAGGCAGCGCUCCUUCAUUUCCUGAGAUGGAGUUGAGGAGGCAGUCCCUUGGAGGGAGCGAAGUCACGGCACCUGGGUGGAUUGCUGCUGCAGCAGGCUGGGAAGGAAGACUGGGAAGUGGGAAGUGUCUGUCUCGGCUGCUUGAGGUCUGCUGUUUCCUGCCCUGUGAGCUCCUUGAUGCAAGUUAGAAGCCAGCUGUCUACUGCAUACUGGAAGAGUGUGCCGGAACCCCUUUCUGGAAGGGGGAUAGGGAGCUGUGCUUUCUUUAGCCGCUUCUGUGCACUUCUGGGGAUGCAGCCCCUGAAAUUUCUUGCACACUCAUUCAAAGCCACCUUUUUGCCCUGUGGUCUGGGGAGAUUCACACUUGCCAGCUUCCUCUGACCCCAGAGCCUAGGAUGCCAUCUCUUGCAUGGAAACUAAAGUUCCAGACAGCUGAUGCACAGACAGACUCCUUCAGGAGAAGUUAGCUCUGUAGGGUGGAGGUCCUGGCAUGUGUGAGCUCAGGCUACCAGGCCCCACUUUUGCCUCAUUGACUUCUGAUGCAGGUCAGACACCUUCCAGAGGCAAACUUGGACCUCGUAGCUGCCCUGGUCCUGGAGUGUGAAGCCCCUCUCAGUACCUGCGUGACAUCAUAACGCUACCACUUUGCCCUGUGAUCCAGGAGGGCCUGUGCAUGUCCCUUCUACUUUCAAAGCUGGGUGGGUGAAGAGCCAGACGUGAGGAAUAUUAGAGUUAGGGUGCUGUAAGCAUGCUGCCAACCACCCUGUCUUCAGGGUAAUGCUGGAUGUUGGGAUUUCCUCUCCGAAUAUUUGGCACAGUGCUUGGGGCAAGCAAGUAUGACUCAGCUUUUGCUACUAUUCAGUGUGGAUAUUUUCUUAGUUGCCUGGACAUAGGUAUCUCUCACCUUGUGACUUUCAGAAACCAUUGAAAAAUGAAUAGAUGUAUAUUUGGUGCAUCUGUGAGUGGAAGAGAAUCAGGAGCCACCUCUCCCACCCCAGUGUCGAUAUCAACUCCCCCCCCCCCCAUAGUUGCCCAUUAACUGCAUUGAUUAAUCAUUCACAUUCACUGUUAUUUCUGACGUAGUUGGAUUGAUGGCUGCCUCUCGCUGACACUCUCUUCAUCCACAUGGGCCGGUCUGUGGAUAUUGUUCAUGUGCUGAUCCUUGGUCUUCAUCUGUUGCAAUGUUAUGGUCUCAUAUGUUCCUGUCAGGUAACAGUUGUUAAUUGCUCUCAUAAUUCAUAAGUUUCUUGAUUAAUUUCAAUUAGAUGAAGAAUCUUCAAUAAGUUUUUAAAAGUGUGUAUUAUGAGAAAACUAUGUAUGGGUUUCAAGAGUUUGGCACCAAAUAAACUUAAUUACUUUCAUAUUCCAUGAAAUUUUUGAAGUGCUCUUGAAUAUAUAACCAUCCAGAUGAAUUCUAGAAUAUUGUAUUUGAAUCCCAUUAAAGUUUUGAUGGGAUAAUAUUGUAUUUAUAGAUUAAUUUGGGGAAAUGUGAUACCUUUGUAAUAGUGUUUUCUUAUCUGCACUCACCUGUAAUUCAGUCUUUUUGUGUCCCUCUGUAAACUUAUUUUCUCAUAGAAUCUACACUUUUUUUUUUAAAAAAAAUGCAUGUGUGAAAUAUCACCUGCAUAUGACAUUUAUAUGAAACUUGCUUGGUGUUUCAUACUAUUUAUUAAACUGGACAUGCAAGACCGACA